GCAUAAAAAACAUAAAUAGAAGAUCAUUACAUGAAUGAUGUAUGCAUAGCAUAUUCCUAGCACGGCAACCAAGUGAUAUGGCUCUCGACUUGGUAUGUAUUAGCAUCACAACUUUAUGUGCUUACUCAAUCCACAUCACACCCGGAUGUGCAUAUGCUUCAAGCAAGCUCUGGUUCAAGCUAACCAACCAUGUUAUCUCUUGUUUCUAUCAAUUGCAGUCCUCCCGUCGUGCUUAGCAGGCCCUGAAGUCCUCUUUUCCACACAAACAGUUAAGAGUUCAUUGAUUAGUGUCAUAACAAAAAUGUUGCAAACGGAUGAAACUAUCAAGGCAACAAAGCUUCUAGACGAAACAGAAUAGCCAUUCAACCUCUGACAAAUCAACAAUAUAAUGACGAUUAGUGCUAUAUGAUUUAUUAAAUUAUGGGUAAAGCUCAGCAACGACAUGUUUUGAAAUCAAUAAUCAUGUAAGAUUGAUCUUCUCACCAAAUUAGAUGAAAAGUAGCGACCGUCUUAUUUUCAAGAGGCAACAAGCUCGGCUUCAAAAAUGAAUUAAGAAUGGAAUAAGCAAACAAAGGUCACGUCAUCGACCAUACUCAAAAUGGUAGUCACUUCCCUUUUGUUAAUGCAGCCAACAUAAAUUUGAAUUAGUCAUAACCUGAAGGUGGGCGAUAGUUACCAAGGUUUCUCGCCGGCGUGGACUGCCGCUUUGCCCCGUUUGACGCCCAGCUUGGCCUUGUCGAAUCUGCUGAAACUAAAAAAUGUCUGUCAGAUUGGAGUGCAUACAUGUAAUUUUGAAACCUAAAUUUUGAAUGGUGAUGUAAAUUAACAAAGUCAGAAUGUCGUUAAGUCACACUAAGUGCGAGCUCUCCUGGCCAUCGAUCUAGUACAUCCUUGUAGGUGUGCCAACCUUGCCUUCCAUUUGAAAUAAGAUGUAAUCUGAAAGGCAAGCAGUAGGACAAAUCAGUCAUGAGGCUCCUUACCUCGACUCUGGCCGUCUGCAUCAAGGAGGGGGGCAACGUGAGGACAUGAGGGGAAGGUCUAGAGUGCAUACCGCUGCCAUCCGCGGCAGUUCGAUCUAACUGUCAUCGGUCGUGGCGGCUUCAGGGCUG
rnacentral:lncRNA from 1 species